rnacentral:rRNA from 1 species
GAAACACGGACCAAGGAGUCUAGCAUGUGCGCGAGUCAUUGGGACAUAACUAAACCUAAAGGCGCAAUGAAAGUGAAGGUCCGCCUUGCGCGGACCGAGGGAAGAUGGGCGGUCGCAUCGCUGGCCGCCCCGCACUCCCGGGGCGUCUCGUUCUCAUCGCGAGAAGAGGCGCACCAAGAGCGUACACGCUGGGACCCGAAAGAUGGUGAACUAUGCCUGGUCAGGACGAAGUCAGGGGAAACCCUGAUGGAGGUCCGUAGCGAUUCUGACGUGCAAAUCGAUCGUCGGAACUGGGUAUAGGGGCGAAAGACUAAUCGAACCAUCUAGUAGCUGGUUCCCUCCGAAGUUUCCCUCASGAUAGCUGGCGCUCGUUUCGCACGAGUCUCAUCCGGUAAAGCGAAUGAUUAGAGGCAUUGGGGUCGAAACGGCCUCAACCUAUUCUCAAACUUUAAAUGGGUGAGAUCUCCGGCYUGCUCGAACUAUUGAAGCCGCGAGACACGGAUCAGAGUGCCAAGUGGGCCAUUUUUGGUAAGCAGAACUGGCGCUGUGGGAUGAACCAAACGCCGAGUUAAAGCGCCUAAAUCGACGCUUAUGGGAUACCAUGAAAGGCGU